UCUUUUUUUCAUCCUUCCUUUGAUUUCUGGCAUCUUCUCAACGCCGUUGAUCGACCUUCUCAUCAUCGAUCUGUGUGCCCUCCACCGUCGAAUCUGCAUAUCUCCCCGCCUUCAUCUGCGCUCGUUAGGUCGCUGCAUGCAAAAUACCGUAUUUCGAAUGCUCGAAGUGUUGCAGCACGUUUUUGCAGGUUCCGUUUUUCGAACAUUUGCCAGAGCUCCAAUUCAUUCGCACUUUGAUAUAUUUAUUGGGAUGAAGACUAUACAAAGCGUUUCUUUUGGCAAACGUCCUGCGUAGCAAUUCAUGAAAAUGUCAACCUUAGCUAUGUGAUAUACAUUUCGAAAUCCUUGCCAAAUUAUUCCCAUUUAUCACGGCUAAAGUGGUGACAACUUUUUUCGGAACAUCUUGGAAAAUUACGACACGAAGAUAAAAAUCGUCGUUAAAAAAAAACGUCUUUACUUACUGGCGGCGUUAUUUUCAACGAAACUCAUAAGUUUGUGAUAAUAUCAAAGACGAGAUAAGAGAGAAAAAGCCAAUGGGAGCUAACACAGAUAUCGGUGCGCAGUGUU